AUGCACGCGACAAAUGUGGCAAAUGAUGCUUACAUGUAUGCGCCACAAGAAUAUGAAACCCAAUAUGAUGAUGACAAUCUUGAUGUGGACGAUGAGGGCUUUGUUGUCAAGGGAAGAAGUGGAAAUUACACCACCGCGGAGGAUGUGUUGAUAUGCACCGCUUGGAAGAAAAUAUCUCAAGAUGCAAGCGUUGGAAGCGACCACGGUGAACACCUAUUGGCAAGCAUCAAGGAGUACUUCGAUGAGCACAACACAAGUGGUCACUUCCGUUCGAGCGACUCUCUACGCCAACGUUGGUCCACCAUCAACGCCGAAUGCCAAAAGUGGGCCGGUUGCUUGUCAAACGUUGCUCGCAUGAACCCAAGUGGUUGCAGUGAUAGUGACUUGAGAGGAACAUGA
rnacentral:rRNA from 1 species